rnacentral:rRNA from 1 species
UACCAGCACCCCGAGUGGUCGGGACGUUUAUUGGGCCUAAAGCAUCCGUAGCCGGUUCUACAAGUCUUCCGUUAAAUCCAGCUGCUUAACAGAUGGGCUGCGGAAGAUACUAUGGAGCUAGGAGGCGGGAGAGGCAAGCGGUACUCGAUGGGUAGGGGUAAAAUCCGUUGAUCCAUUGAAGACCACCAGUGGCGAAGGCGGCUUGCCAGAACGCGCUCGACGGUGAGGGAUGAAAGCUGGGGGAGCAAACGGG